rnacentral:snoRNA from 17 species
ACAUACCAAACAAGCCAGUAUCAUUGGCUGUCUGCGUAUCCCCAACUCACAGACGGUCUCUCUAAGCUGGUAGAUCGAAAACCUAAAUACGAACAACUUAAGUUCUGUCGUAGUGGCUCCUAAUAUCCAAGCCCUAUGACACUAUUGUGGUUCAAACAGCU